CUCAGCCACUGUGUGACAGGAUCUCUGAACGUCCCCAUUUUAGAUGGUGGGACUGAGAUCCAGAGGGAAAAAUGACUCGUCCAAAUCUGCACAGCUGGGACUCAGCAGAGCCCGACACACAGUAUGGGACACAUAUCCAUGGCUCUUUACCACAGACAUUUGGGGCUCUCAAAGAUGAGAACAUCCAGCUGGAAAUGCCUCAGAGACCACCUUGUUCCACCAAUGGCCAGUCAAGGCCAGACGCACCUGAGAUCACUCAACAGGACCUCAAAUCAUGCCACCUGGAUCAGUGGGAGUCAAACACAGGAACAAUAAAAGGGGUUGCAGCCUUGCGUGAAGUACUAUACAGCAGUGAAAAGGCAUGAACGGCACCUGCGCAUGCCAGCACAAUGAGCCUGAGAAAUACGGUGGAAGGAGAAAAGGCAAGUUCCAGAAGAAACAGUCAGUGUGAUCCACUUUACAUGAAGAUUUUAAAAACACACAUUUGGUGUACACUAUUUCUCAAUAUAUACAUAUGCAUUAACAGUAAAAGAAUAAAAAUAUACUUUGAACAAGAAGCA